CUGGUUGAUUCUGCCAGUGGUCAUAUGCUCGUCUCAAAGACUAAGCCAUGCAUGUCUACGUUCAUAACCAUCGAGGUUGAAACUGCGAAGCGCUCAGUAAAUCAGUUAUAGUCUGUUCGAUCGUUCAAGCCCAUGGAUAACUGUGGCAAAUCUAUAGCUAAUACAUGUAAAAGCGGGGGUAACCCUGUACAUUUAUUGACUAACCGACACCACCGGGCYUCGGCCCGGUAGCAGGUGAAUCUAGAUAACUGUGCCUACCGCAUAGCUCUACGCUGGUGGUAGUUCGAUCGAAUUUCUGCCCUAUCAACUAGUUGGUAAGGUAGUGGCUUACCAAGGUAGUAACGGGUAACGGGGAAUCAGGGUUCGAUUCCGGAGAGGGAGCCUGAGAAACGGCUACCACAUCCAAGGACGGCAGCAGGCGCGCAAAUUACCCAAUCCAGACAUUGGGAGGUAGUGACGAGAAAUACUGGGGGCGCUCAAUUGAGCGCCAUCCGGAAUGAACGUAACACAAAAAAUUCGAUGAGGAUCUACUGGAGGGCAAGUCUGGUGCCAGCAGCCGCGGUAAUUCCAGCUCCAGUAGUGUAUAUCAACAUUGUUGCGCUUAAAACGCUCGUAGUUGGAUUACAGAGCUUCAAACGCGCUCUCUCCUAAGGAGUGUAGUGCGGUCGAUGCAAGCACAACCGCCAGUCCGCUGGUCAAGUGUAGCACGGCGAGGCUCUUUUGUCGCACUGGUUCUAGCCGCUGUCUUUGUUGAGAGUGGCUAGCUGCCGGUGGAGUGUGCCUUGAAUAAAGCAUAGUGCUCAAAGCAGGCGAACGCUCGUGUGUAAUAGCAUGGAACGAAUAUAUUGGCCGUGGUUGGCCGGUGUCAGCGAUGGCGUCGUGCCAACCGCAGGUUCGAUCAGUGUUGGUUGGAACCACGGUCUCAACGGUUAACAGGGACACCUGAGGGCACUAGUACUUUGUGGCGAGAGGUGAAAUUCUUAGACCCACAAAAGACUGACUACUGCGAAAGCAUUUGCCAAGAGUGUUUUCAUUAAUCAAGAACGAAGGUCAGAGGAUCGAAGACGAUCAGAUACCGUCCUAGUUUUGACAGCAAACUAUGCCAGCAUAGGGUUGGAGCGGUCGCUGCUUAACAGGCAGUCGAACCACUGCAGGCCUUAAGGGAAACCUAGCUUUCGGGCUGCUGGGAGAAUAUCGCUGCAAGGCUGAAAUUUAAAGAAAUUGACGGAGAGGCACCACCAGGAGUGGAGCCUGCGGCUUAAUUUGACUCAACACGGGGAAACUCACCAGGUCCAGACAUUGGUAGGAUUGACAGACUGGUAGAUCUUUCAUGAUUCAGUGAAUGGUGGUGCAUGGCCGUUCUUAGUUGGUGGAGUGAUCUGUCAGGUCUAUUCCGGUAACGAGCGAGACCACGGCCUUUAGUUGUUGGUUGGACAAAGCACCGGACAAGUGCCGGUGCCCAGCCUCUCUAGAGGGACUAUUGGCGUUUAAGCCAGGGGAAGCGUGGCAAUAACAGGUCUGUGAUGCCCUUCGAUGUCCUGGGCUGCACGCGCGCUACAAUGGCAGCAGUAGAGAGCAACUGGCUAGAGAUGGCCGGUAAAACUGUAAAUAGCUGUCGUGAUAGGGAUUGAGCCUUGUAAUUUUUGCUCAUGAAAGAGGAAUUCCUCGUAAGCACGAGUCAUCAGCUCGUGUUGAAUACGUCUCUGCCUCUUGUACACACCGCCCGUCGCUA
rnacentral:rRNA from 1 species